CGGGGGGGGCAAGCGUUGUUCGGAAUUACUGGGCGUAAAGGGCGCGUAGGCGGUCUGUUAAGUCGGAUGUGAAAACUCUGGGCUCAACCCAGAGCCUGCAUCCGAAACUGGCAGGCUAGAGUUCUGGAGGGGGUAGCGGAAUUCCUGGUGUAGCGGUGAAAUGCGUAGAUAUCAGGAGGAACACCGGUGGCGAAGGCGGCUACCUGGACAGAAACUGACGCUGAGGCGCGAAAGCUAGGGGAGCAAGCAGGAUUAGAUACCCUGAUAGUCCUAGCCCUAAACGAUGGAUACUUGGUGUGACGGGGAUUGAAUCCCGUCGUGCCGAAGCUAACGCAUUAAGUAUCCCGCCUGGGGAGUACGGUCGCAAGGCUG
rnacentral:rRNA from 1 species